ensembl:snRNA U4 U4 spliceosomal RNA
ACCUUCGCUCAGUGGCAGGAUCAUAGCCAAUGAGGUUUCUCUGAGGCACAAGUAUUGUUAAUUAAAAACUAAACAGAAGAAACGUCAUCUGAUGUGAUGAAAAAUAUUAUAUGCAUUUAACACUG